GACAGAGGCCUCGAGCGUUAGGCGGAAUCAUUGGGCGUAAAGCGCGUGUAGGCGGCCCGGUAAGUCCGCUGUGAAAGUCGGGGGCUCAACCCUCGGAUGCCGGUGGAUACUGUCGGGCUCGAGUACGGAAGAGGCGAGUGGAAUUCCUGGUGUAGCGGUGAAAUGCGCAGAUAUCAGGAGGAACACCAAUUGCGAAGGCAGCUCGCUGGGACGUUACUGACGCUGAGACGCGAAAGCGUGGGGAGCAAACAGG
rnacentral:rRNA from 1 species